rnacentral:rRNA from 1 species
GACGAACGCUGGCGGCGUGCCUAAUACAUGCAAGUCGAGCGGACCUCUUCGGAGGUUAGCGGCGGACGGGUGAGUAACACGUGGGCAACCUGCCUGUAAGACUGGGAUAACUUCGGGAAACCGGAGCUAAUACCGGAUAAUCCUUUCCCUCUCAUGAGGGAAAGCUGAAAGACGGUUUCGGCUGUCACUUACAGAUGGGCCCGCGGCGCAUUAGCUAGUUGGUGAGGUAACGGCUCACCAAGGCGACGAUGCGUAGCCGACCUGAGAGGGUGAUCGGCCACACUGGGACUGAGACACGGCCCAGACUCCUACGGGAGGCAGCAGUAGGGAAUCUUCCGCAAUGGACGAAAGUCUGACGGAGCAACGCCGCGUGAGCGAAGAAAGCCUUCGGGUCGUAAAGCUCUGUUGUCAGGGAAGAACAAGUAUCGGAGUAACUGCCGGUACCUUGACGGUACCUGACCAGAAAGCCACGGCUAACUACGUGCCAGCCGCCGCAGUAA